rnacentral:rRNA from 1 species
GAUGAACGCUAGCGAUAGGCUUAACACAUGCAAGUCGAGGGGCAGCAUGGUCUUAGCUUGCUAAGACUGAUGGCGACCGGCGCACGGGUGCGUAACGCGUAUGCAACUUGCCUCACAGGGGGGGAUAACCCGUCGAAAGACGGACUAAUACCGCGUACACUUGGGAUAGGGCAUCCUGACCCAAGGAAAUGAAAUUCGCUGUGAGAUAGGCAUGCGUCCCAUUAGCUAGUUGGUGAGGUAACGGCUCACCAAGGCGACGAUGGGUAGGGGAACUGAGAGGGUGACCCCCCACACUGGUACUGAGACACGGACCAGACUCCUACGGGAGGCAGCAGUGAGGAAUAUUGGUCAAUGGGCGAGAGCCUGAACCAGCCAAGUCGCGUGAAGGAUGACUGUCUUAUGGAUUGUAAACUUCUUUUAUACGGGAAUAACAAGAGCCACGUGUGGCUCCCUGCAUGUACCGUAUGAAUAAGCAUCGGCUAACUCCGUG